rnacentral:rRNA from 1 species
UACGUAGGGUGCAAGCGUUAAUCGGAAUUACUGGGCGUAAAGCGUGCGCAGGCGGUUUUGUAAGUCUGAUGUGAAAUCCCCGGGCUCAACCUGGGAAUUGCAUUGGAGACUGCAAGGCUAGAAUCUGGCAGAGGGGGGUAGAAUUCCACGUGUAGCAGUGAAAUGCGUAGAGAUGUGGAGGAACACCGAUGGCGAAGGCAGCCCCCUGGGUCAAGAUUGACGCUCAUGCACGAAAGCGUGGGGAACAAACAGG